UACGUAGGUGGCAAGCGUUAUCCGGAAUUAUUGGGCGUAAAGGGAGCGCAGGCGGUUUAUUAAGUUUAUAGUUAAAGUUCGGGGCUUAACCCCGUGAUGCCAUAGAAACUGGUAGACUAGAGUGCAGGAGAGGUUAGUGGAAUUCCAUGUGUAGCGGUAAAAUGCGUAGAUAUAUGGAGGAACACCAGUGGCGAAGGCGGCUACCUGGCCUGUUCUUGACGCUGAGGCGCGAAAGCUAGGGGAGCAAACGGG
rnacentral:rRNA from 1 species